rnacentral:rRNA from 1 species
CAACUCGACUACAUGAAGCUGGAAUCGCUAGUAAUCGCGAAUCAGAAUGUCGCGGUGAAUACGUUCCCGGGUCUUGUACACACCGCCCGUCACACCAUGGGAGUCAGUAACGCCCGAAGCCGGUGACCCAACCGAUAAGGAGGGAGCCGUCGAAGGUGGGACCGAUAACUGGGGUGAAGUCGUAACAAGGUAUC